rnacentral:tRNA from 2 species
AAGAAAGUGUCAGAGGGGCUAUGUGGUUGACUUGAAAUCAACUUAUGAGGGUUCGACUCCCCCCUUUCUUG